GACGAACGCUGGCGGCGUGCUUAACACAUGCAAGUCGAACGCUGAAGCACCAGCUUGCUGGUGUGGAUGAGUGGUGAACGGGUGAGUAAUACGUGAGUAACCUGCCCUUGACUCUGGGAUAAGCCCGGGAAACUGGGUCUAAUACUGGAUGCUACAUGUCACCGCAUGGUGGUGUGUGGAAAGGGUUUACUGGUCUUGGAUGGGCUCACGGCCUAUCAGCUUGUUGGUGAGGUAAUGGCUCACCAAGGCGACGACGGGUAGCCGGCCUGAGAAGGUGACCGGCCACACUGGGACUGAGACACGGCCCAGACUCCUACGGGAGGCAGCAGUGGGGAAUAUUGCACAAUGGGCGAAAGCCUGAUGCAGCGACGCCGCGUGAGGGAUGACGGCCUUCGGGUUGUAAACCUCUUUCAGCAGGGAAGAAGCCACAAGUGACGGUACCUGCAGAAGAAGCGCCGGCUAACUACGUGCCAGCAGCCGCCGUAA
rnacentral:rRNA from 1 species